GUACCCUUCACUACGGAAUAGCUUCUGGAAACGGAAGGUAAUACCGUAUACGCCCUCCGGGGGAAAGAUUUAUCGGUGAAGGAUCGGCCCGCGUUAGAUUAGUUUGUUGGUGGGGUAAUGGCCUACCAAGACUACGAUCUAUAGCUGGUCUGAGAGGAUGAUCAGCCACACUGGGACUGAGACACGGCCCAGACUCCUACGGGAGGCAGCAGUGGGGAAUCUUGCACAAUGGGCGAAAGCCUGAUGCAGCCAUGCCGCGUGAAUGAUGAAGGCCUUAGGGUUGUAAAAUUCUUUCGCCAGGGAUGAUAAUGACAGUACCUGGUAAAGAAGCCCCGGCUAACUUCGUGCCAGCAGCCGCGGUAAUACGAAGGGGGCUAGCGUUGUUCGGAAUUACUGGGCGUAAAGCGCGCGUAGGCGGGCUAUUAAGCCAGAUGUGAAAGCCCGGAGCUCAACUCCGGAAUUGCAUUUGGAACUGGUAGCCUAGAGACCAGGAGAGGUUAGCGGAAUACCGAGUGUAGAGGUGAAAUUCGUAGAUAUUCGGUGGAACACCAGUGGCGAAGGCGGCUAACUGGACUGGUACUGACGCUGAGGCGCGAAAGUGUGGGGAGCAAACAGGAUUAGAUACCCUGGUAGUCCACACCGUAAACGAU
rnacentral:rRNA from 1 species